UACAGAGGGUGCGAGCGUUAAUCGGAAUUACUGGGCGUAAAGCGCGCGUAGGCGGCUUGUUAAGUCAAAUGUGAAAGCCCCGGGCUUAACCUGGGAAUGGCCGUUGAAACUGGCGAACUGGAGUGUGGCAGAGGGGGGUGGAAUUCCGCGUGUAGCAGUGAAAUGCGUAGAGAUGCGGAGGAACACCGAUGGCGGAGGCAGCCCCCUGGGCUAACACUGACGCUCAGGCACGAAAGCGUGGGGAGCAAACAGG
rnacentral:rRNA from 1 species